rnacentral:rRNA from 1 species
CUUAAAUUGAAGAGUUUGAUCAUGGCUCAGAUUGAACGCUGGCGGCAGGCCUAACACAUGUUAGUCGAGCGGAAACGAGUUAUCAGAA